AUUUAGAAGCAGCAGCAGCAGCAGCAGUUCCAGCAGCAGCAGCAGUUCCAGCAGCAGCAGCAGCAGCAGUUCCAGCAGCAGCAGCAGCAGCAGUAGCAGUUCCAGAAAAAACUUCUUUGACUACAGAGUGGUACUGGGUCUUUGGUUGGUGGAGUGGGGGUCCUUCCGCUUCUGGAAUGAAUCAGAAGAAUUAGCCAGUGCUCAGCUCAUAAUUCCCGAUGUCUGAAUGUCUACGUUGGAAAUUCUGCCCAAUCCAGUAGUCAGAGUUGCCCACGCCUUUUGUCAGGAUUUCCUGGGACAAGCACAGGAGCAUCCAAAAGGGAAUGGUCCAGGCAAACCAGAAAACUACACCAACACCAACACACUAACACAGAGAAGCAGUGUGGAAAGAGGCUGGACCUGGGAUCCACUUCAUACAGUAGUACUUAUUGAGAUGGACAUUAAUAUAAAUAAAUGUUACAGAUAUUCA